GGGGACAUGAGAGGUGUAGUAUAAGUGGGAGCACGGUUCGGACUCGCCGGCCCUUGCGACAGUGAAAUACCACUACUUUCAUCGUUUCUUUACUGACUCGGUGAAGCGGAGAGCGGACCGAUGGGUCCACGUUUCCAGCCCCAAGCCGGGGCGGCCCAGCGCAGCCCCGGCGAUCCGCUCCGAGGACGGUUUCAGACAGGGAGUUUGACUGGGGCGGUACAUCUGUCAAAAGGUAACGCAGGUGUCCUAAGGCGAGCUCAGCGAGGACGGAAACCUCGCGCGGGCAU
rnacentral:rRNA from 1 species